rnacentral:rRNA from 1 species
UACGUAGGGUGCGAGCGUUAAUCGGAAUUACUGGGCGUAAAGCGUGCGCAGGCGGUUAUUUAAGUCAGGGUGUGAAAGCCCUGGGCUUAACCUAGGAAUUGCGCUUGAGACUGAAUAGCUUGGAGUGCGGCAGAGGGAGGUGGAAUUCCACGUGUAGCAGUGAAAUGCGUAGAGAUGUGGAGGAACACCGAUGGCGAAGGCAGCCUCCUGGGCCAGCACUGACGCUCAUGCACGAAAGCGUGGGGAGCAAACAGG